rnacentral:lncRNA from 1 species
GCAUUAGGGUUCUAAACCCUAAACUGAGCUUUUCCAUGCAGUCAGCAUUAGGGUUUUAAACCCUAAACUGAAUUUUCCCUUUAGUCAGCAUUAGGGUUUUAAACCAUAAACUGAACUUUUUCCAUUCAGCCAGCAUUAGGGUUUUAAACCCUAAACUGAGCUUUUCCAUGCAAUCAGCAUUAGGGUUUUAAACCCUAAACUGAAUUUUUCCUUUUAGUCAGCAUUAGGGUUUUAAACCCUAAACUGAAUUUUCCCUUUUAGUCAGCAUUAGGGUUUUAAACCCUAAACUGAACUUUUUCAUUCAGCCAGCAUUAGGGUUUUAAACCCUAAACUGAGCUUUUUCCUUUAGUCAGCAUUAGGGUUUUAAACCCUAAACUGAACUUUUUCCAUUCAGCCAGCAUUAGGGUUUUAAACCCUAAACUGAGCUUUUCCAUGCAGUCAGCAUUAGGGUUUUAAACCCUAAACUGAAUUUUCCCUUUAGUCAGCAUUAGGGUUUUAAACUCUAAACUGAACUUUUUCCAUUCAGCCAUCAUUAGGGUUUUAAACCCUAAACUGAGCUUUUCCAUGCAAUCAGCAUUAGGGUUUUAAACCCUAAACUGAAUUUUUUCUUUAGUCAGCAUUAGGG